rnacentral:rRNA from 1 species
AGAGUUUGAUCCUGGCUCAGAGCGAACGCUGGCGGCGUGCUUAACACAUGCAAGUCGAACGAGUGUAGCAAUACAUUCGUGGCGAACGGGUGCGUAACACGUGGAUAACCUUCCUUGAGGUGGGGAAUAACCCCGCGAAAGCGGGGCUAAUACCGCAUAACAAAGCGAUGGCACAUGCUGUUGCUUUCAAAGGAGCAAUUCGCCACAAGAGGGAUCCGCGGCCGAUUAGCUAGUUGGUGAGGUAACGGCUCACCAAGGCUAUGAUCGGUAGCCGGACUGAGAGGUUGGCCGGCCACACUGGAACUGAGACACGGUCCAGACUCCUACGGGAGGCAGCAGUGGGGAAUCUUGCACAAUGGGCGAAAGCCUGAUGCAGCAACGCCGCGUGGGGGAUGAAGCUUCUCGGAGUGUAAACCCCUUUCGACCCGGACGAAUGCCCGCAAGGGUUUGACGGUACGGGUAUAAGAAGCCCCGGCUAACUACGUGCCAGCAGCCGCGGUAAUAC